CCUACGGGAGGCAGCAGUGAGGAAUAUUGGUCAAUGGGCGCGAGCCUGAACCAGCCAAGUAGCGUGAAGGAUGACUGCCCUACGGGUUGUAAACUUCUUUUAUAAAGGAAUAAAGUGAGGCACGUGUGCCUUUUUGUAUGUACUUUAUGAAUAAGGAUCGGCUAACUCCGUGCCAGCAGCCGAGGUAAUACGGAGGGUCCGAGCGUUAUCCGGAUUUUUGGGGUGUAAAGGGUGCGUAGAUGGGUUGUUAAGUCAGUUGUGAAAGUUUGCGGCUCAACCGGAAAAUUGCAAUUGAUACUGGCAGCCUUGAGUACAGUAGAGGUAGGCGGAAUUCGUGGUGUAGCGGUGAAAUGCUUAGAUAUCACGAAGAACUCCGAUUGCGAAGGCAGCUUACUAAACUGCCACUGACAUUGAUGCUCGAAAGUGUGGGUAUCAAACAGGAUUAGAUACCCCAGUAGUC
rnacentral:rRNA from 1 species